UACGGGGGGUGCGAGCGUUGUCCGGAAUCACUGGGCGUAAAGGGCGCGUAGGUGGCGUCGUAAGUCUGUGGUGAAAGCCCGGAGCUCAACUCCGGGUCUGCCGCGGAUACUGCGAGGCUUGAGUGCUGUAGAGGGGGGUAGAAUGCCGGGUGUAGCGGUGGAAUGCGUAGAGAUCCGGCAGAAGACCGGUGGCGAAGGCGGCUUCCUGGUCUGCAACUGACGCUGUGGCGCGAAAGCUAGGGGAGCAAACGGG
rnacentral:rRNA from 1 species